rnacentral:rRNA from 1 species
AACGUAGGUGGCGAGCGUUAUCCGGAUUUACUGGGCGUAACGGGUGUGCAGGCUGCCCCUCAAGUGGUGUAUGAAAGGGCUCGGCUCAACCGGGCUAGGUUAUGCCAGACUGAGGGGCUAGAGAGCGAGAGCGGGACGUGGAAUUCCGGGUGUAGUGGUGAAAUGCGUAGAGAUCCGGAGGAACCCCAGAGGCGAAGGCGGCGUCCUGGACCGACACUGACACUGAGGCGCGAAAGCUAGGGGAGCAAACGGG